rnacentral:rRNA from 1 species
UGGGGAAUAUUGCACAAUGGGCGAAAGCCUGAUGCAGCAACGCCGCGUGAACGAUGAAGGUCUUCGGAUCGUAAAGUUCUGUUGCAGGGGAAGAUAAUGACGGUACCCUGUGAGGAAGCCCCGGCUAACUACGUGCCAGCAGCCGCGGUAAUACGUAGGGGGCUAGCGUUAUCCGGAUUUACUGGGCGUAAAGGGUGCGUAGGUGGUCCUUCAAGUCGGUGGUUAAAGGCUACGGCUCAACCGUAGUAAGCCGCCGAAACUGGAGGACUUGAGUGCAGGAGAGGAAAGUGGAAUUCCCAGUGUAGCGGUGAAAUGCGUAGAUAUUGGGAGGAACACCAGUAGCGAAGGCGGCUUUCUGGACUGCAACUGACACUGAGGCACGAAAGCGUGGGUAGCAAACAGGAUUAGAUACCCUGGUAGUCCACGCCGUAAACGAUGAGUGCUAGGUGUUAGACCCUUUCCGGGGUUUAGUGCCGUAGCUAACGCAUUAAGCACUCCGCCUGGGGAGUACGACCGCAAGGUUG